GUGGAGGUAGCCCAGCCUGGUAAGGCGAUAGCCUGCUAAGCUAUUGUCCCUAGUGACUCGCGAGUUCGAAUCUCGCCCUCCACGC
rnacentral:tRNA from 1 species